rnacentral:rRNA from 1 species
GACGUAGGGGGCAAGCGUUGUCCGGAAUCAUUGGGCGUAAAGAGCGCGUAGGCGGUCCGGUAAGUCGGUUGUGAAAACUGGGGGCUCAACCCUCAGAGGCCGACCGAUACUGUCGGGCUAGAGUCCGGAAGAGGCGAGUGGAAUUCCUGGUGUAGCGGUGAAAUGCGCAGAUAUCAGGAGGAACACCAAUGGCGAAGGCAGCUCGCUGGGACGGUACUGACGCUGAGGCGCGAAAGCGUGGGGAGCAAACAGG